rnacentral:rRNA from 1 species
UACGUAGGGCGCAAGCGUUGUCCGGAAUUAUUGGGCGUAAAGAGCUCGUAGGCGGUCUGUCGCGUCGAUCGUGAAAACUUGGGGCUUAACCCUGAGCUUGCGGUCGAUACGGGCAUGACUGGAGUUCGGCAGGGGAGACUGGAAUUCCUGGUGUAGCGGUGAAAUGCGUAGAUAUCUGGAGGAAUACCGGUGGCGAAGGCGGCAUCCUGGACCGGCAUUGACGCUGAGGAGCGAAAGCCAGGGGAGCAAACGGG